rnacentral:rRNA from 1 species
GGUUUAAUGCACCUGGCCCGCGGCCACUAGGCUUGUGAGUGCCGGCGCGCGUUUACCAUCCUUCUAGAAAAUGGUUCUGCCAUUCACUUGGUGGGAUCGCUAUCUAGAUCUUUUACUUUGAAAAAAUUAGAGUGUUUAAAGCAGGCUUUUGCUAUGAAUACAUUAGCAUGGAAUAAUAAUCUAGGACUUCGGUUCUAUUUUGUUGGUUUCUAUAACUGAAGUA